UCGGACGGGUGAGUAACGCGUGGGUAACCUGCCUCAUACAGGGGGAUAACAGUUAGAAAUGACUGCUAAUACCGCAUAAGACCACAGGAUCGCAUGAUCCGGUGGUAAAAACUCCGGUGGUAUGAGAUGGACCCGCGUCUGAUUAGCUAGUUGGUGGGGUAACGGCUCACCAAGGCGACGAUCAGUAGCCGACCUGAGAGGGUGACCGGCCACAUUGGGACUGAGACACGGCCCAA
rnacentral:rRNA from 1 species